CAAGAGCGUAUGUAAAAGUUGUUGCAGUUAAAAAGCUCGUAGUUGAACCUUGGGUUUGGUUGGCCGGUCCGCUUUUUUGCGAGUACUGGAUUCAACCGAGCCUUUCCUUCUGGCUAACCAGUCGUUUCGGCGGCUGGCGAACCAGGAUUUUUACCUUGAGAAAAUUAGAGUGUUCAAAGCAGGCAUUAGCUUGAAUAUAUUAGCAUGGAAUAAUAGAAUAGGACGUUAUGGUUCUAUUUUGUUGGUUUCUAGGACCAUCGUAAUGAUUAAUAGGGACGGUCGGGGGCAUCAGUAUUCAGUUGUCAGAGGUGAAAUUCUUGGAUUUACUGAAGACUAACUACUGCGAAAGCAUUUGCCAAGGACGUUUUCAUUAA
rnacentral:rRNA from 1 species